rnacentral:rRNA from 1 species
GACGGAGGAUGCAAGUGUUAUCCGGAAUCACUGGGCGUAAAGCGUCUGUAGGUGGUUCGAAAAGUCCACUGUUAAAAAUUGAAGCUUAACUUCAAAGAUGCCGUGGAAACUUUCAAACUAGAGUGUGGUAGGGGUAGAGGGAAUUUCCAGUGGAGCGGUGAAAUGCGUAGAUAUUGGAAAGACCACCGAUGACGAAGGCACUCUACUGGGCCAUCACUGACACUGAGAGACGAAAGCUAGGGGAGCAAAUGGG